rnacentral:lncRNA from 1 species
AGAUUCCGCCCCCCUGAGGACGAGUCUCUUCAUCUUUAUGAAGGGGAUGUGGUAUUGGCACCCCUGGCUUGGAUGGAGCAUGAGGCAGCUACACGGUGCUGGGAGUCAAAGAGCCUCCUGUCAUCUUGCAGUUGGAGUCUAAGAGAGUCCCCAGAAGCCACCAGGACGACAUAUGGUCUCUGCAAAUGAUGAAGCAUUUCAUGAACCAUCACAACGAAGAAGACCCAAGUCACAGCAUGCCAGGAUGAACCCAGCAAACACCACACAGUUUCACUCACCACACAGAACCAGAAGUUGACUGCUGACGGCCCUCUGAGAGGCUGCCAUAGUUUGUUAAAUAUUUUUCAAUCAGGAAACACACUCUGAGCUCCCUUCUGCAGCUGGGUAGGUGCUGAGCUCCAGAGGUUAAAAGACAAAUAUGUGUUCACAUUCUGGAGGUUAUAGCAUGCUCACAAUUAAAUGGAUUUCAUUUCAGAAUAUUACUUGUCCCGGAUUGCACACGGCAUGUGUGUAUUACGUAGAUGGAUAGACAGAUUAACAUUUAUGGAAACAAAUCAUUGUCUGCAUUAUCAGAUUGUAGUAAAUUCUUAUAAUUUUGUGUGG